AGUGAACGCUGGCGGUAGGCCUAACACAUGCAAGUCGAACGGCAGCACAGUAAGAGCUUGCUCUUACGGGUGGCGAGUGGCGGACGGGUGAGGAAUACAUCGGAAUCUACUUUUUCGUGGGGGAUAACGUAGGGAAACUUACGCUAAUACCGCAUACGACCUACGGGUGAAAGCAGGGGAUCUUCGGACCUUGCGCGAUUGAAUGAGCCGAUGUCGGAUUAGCUAGUUGGCGGGGUAAAGGCCCACCAGGGCGACGAUCCGUAGCUGGUCUGAGAGGAUGAUCAGCCACACUGGAACUGAGACACGGUCCAGACUCCUACGGGAGGCAGCAGUGGGGAAUAUUGGACAAAGGGCGCAAGCCUGAUCCAGCCAUACCGCGUGGGUGAAGAAGGCCUUCGGGUUGUAAAGCCCUUUUGUUGGGAAAGAAAUGCAGCCGGCUAAUACCUGGUUGGGAUGACGGUACCCAAAGAAUAAGCACCGGCUAACUUCGUG
rnacentral:rRNA from 1 species